UGGUUGCAGCUAACGCUUUAAAGCACUUUUGCCUAGGGAGUCCGGUCGCACGACUGAAAUUCAAAGGAAUUGACGGGGGCCCGCACAAGCGGUGGAGCAUGUGGUUUAAUUUGAAGCAACGCGAAGAACCUUACCAGGUCUUGACAUCCUCUGACAACCCUAGAGAUAGGGCUUUCCCUUCGGGGACAGAGUGACAGGUGGUGCAUGGUUGUCGUCAGCUCGUGUCGUGAGAUGUUGGGUUAAGUCCCGCAACGAGCGCAACCCUUGAUCUUAGUUGCCAGCAUUCAGUUGGGCACUCUAAGGUGACUGCCGGUGACAAACCGGAGGAAGGUGGGGAUGACGUCAAAUCAUCAUGCCCCUUAUGACCUGGGCUACACACGUGCUACAAUGGACAGAACAAAGGGCUGCAAGACCGCAAGGUUUAGCCAAUCCCAUAAAUCUGUUCUCAGUUCGGAUCGCAGUCUGCAACUCGACUGCGUGAAGCUGGAAUCGCUAGUAAUCGCGGAUCAGCAUGCCGCGGUGAAUACGUUCCCGGGCCUUGUACACACCGCCCGUCACACCACGAGAGUUUGCAACACCCGAAGUCGGUGAGGUAAC
rnacentral:rRNA from 1 species